CUUGACUUUUUCAGUUUGUUUCAGAUCCCAUGGCUUCACAUGCUCUAUGCAGCAAUAGGGGCCAUUGCAUUCACUCUGUUUCUGGCCUAUCAUACCCAGCUGCUCAUCGGAAACAGGAAGCUCUCCAUCGGCCCGGAGGAGUAUGUGUUUGCGGCUCUCUCCCUUUAUGUUGACAUUGUCCAGAUCUUCAUCUUCCUCCUGCAAAUUAUCGGAUAUGCAGAGAGAUAGAAGCUUCAAGCUGGCUGAUGGACCUUUUCUGUACCGUCAUAAUGGCUUUAAUGUUUAUGCACUUCUCAGUCCAGUCCCAGCUAACAUCUACUCAAAUAAUACGGAAAUUGUAAAAUAUAUCUAGCUUUAUACUAAUUGAACAACUGGUAAGGGAUGAAUAUCAUUUCCAUGAUUUACUAACCAUAUGCAUGUAUUCCGAUAAAAUAUGAGUGAUAUUAUAUAGCCAAUACUGUGUUCUUGAUCCCAUGUCAUAGAAAUGGAAGCUGUCUAUUAGAAGUGGAUCUGUAUUAUGCAAAUUUCUACUGUAUUGAUUUAGAUUUGCUGUAUUAUCUAUAGAUAUGACAUGUGUGUGGUUCAUUUUGGUCGAGGGUUUAGCUUUUCUGCUGUGUACAUACAAUCUUAACUAUUUCAGUUAAUGAAUAGAGUAUUUAUCGCAGACAUCUUUAUAUACAAUAGAAAAGACUAUAUCAGAUGUUUCCCUUCAACUUUGGGAAAUAAAUGUCUUUACUUAAUGAAUUUGAUAUUAUGUGAUGUACAAUGGUGCCUUUCCUUUGUUUAGAUACACCAUGAAUAAAUAGUCAUAAAAGGUGUCACCUACAUAUAAAUGGAUUGUUAUAUAUUUGAAUUAUAUAAACAAAAUGAACCUAUAUUUUCUGUUACAGUGUUCUCAUGCCACAUGUUGGACAACAAUGUGGUUAAGGUUUGAUAUUUAAUCAUUGUUAUUGUGAGGAUAAUCAUAAUAAAAGGAACAUGAGUA